GAAUACUAACUGGAAUCACAUUUGUGUCAUUUGUGAUAACGUAAGGGAAAAUCAUGAUAUAACUUUACUAUUAGUGUUGAAAAGCUGGUGCCAGAAGACUCGGUAAGGCCAGAGACGCGAGCGUAAAUCAUCUUAAAAAGGCGUAAAGGGUACGUAGCAGCUUUAAUAUUAUUUAUUUAUUUAUUGAAAGAUUUAUUUAAAUAUUAUUGAUCGAAGAUAGAAUCAUAUAGAGGUCACAGACCAGAUAAUUCUAGGAGCAUAUUCAGGGAUGAAAUCUUUAGAUUCCUAGAAGAAUAAUAGUUAGCGAAUGCUCUUUUCCAACUUAUGAUUGACGCUGAGGUACGAAGGGGGGGGUAGACAAUAGGAUUGGAGACCCUGGCAUUCCUCUCUGUAAACGAUGAAUGGUAGUCGCUAGUUUGAGAAUUAGUGGCGAUGCUAACGCGUUAACCAUUCCGCCUUGUGAGUACGGCCGCAAGGUUGAAAACAAAAAAAUUAGUCGGUUUCGGAGCAAACG
rnacentral:rRNA from 1 species